GGGCCGGUGUUAAACGCAUGGAAGACUAACAACCACAGUCAUCUUAUAUUUUAAUAUUAAUCAAUCUACACAAUAGAGGUUACUUUGGUAACAUAAUGCUUCAAUUGACUAACUAAAAUAUUAGAUGCUAUAAACUUUAGUUCCUUAAGCCAUAUUAUGAAUCUUUAACUUAAUAAGUUACAUGUUUUGACAUGUAACACUUGAAUAUUAAUUGUUGUAUACUUGAGAGGACAAUUCCAAAAAU
rnacentral:lncRNA from 1 species